UACAGGGGGGGCAAGCGUUGUUCGGAAUUACUGGGCGUAAAGGGCUCGUAGGCGGCCGGCUAAGUCCGACGUGAAAUCCCCAGGCUUAACCUGGGAACUGCGUCGGAUACUGGCGGGCUUGAAUCCGGGAGAGGGAUGCGGAAUUCCAGGUGUAGCGGUGAAAUGCGUAGAUAUCUGGAGGAACACCGGUGGCGAAGGCGACUUCCUGGACCAAUACUGACGCUCAGGUGCGAAAGCGUGGGGAGCAAACAGG
rnacentral:rRNA from 1 species